AUGUUAGCGGCGGACGGGUGAGUAACACGUGGGUAACCUACCUAUAAGACUGGGAUAACUCCGGGAAACCGGGGCUAAUACCGGAUAAUAUAUUGAACCGCAUGGUUCAAUGUUGAAAGACGGUUUCGGCUGUCACUUAUAGAUGGACCCGCGCCGUAUUAGCUAGUUGGUAAGGUAACGGCUUACCAAGGCAACGAUACGUAGCCGACCUGAGAGGGUGAUCGGCCACACUGGAACUGAGACACGGUCCAGACUCCUACGGAAGGCAGCAG
rnacentral:rRNA from 1 species